UACGUAGGUGGCGAGCGUUGUCCGGAUUUACUGGGCGUAAAGGGAGCGUAGGCGGACUUUUAAGUGAGAUGUGAAAUACUCGGGCUCAACUUGAGUGCUGCAUUUCAAACUGGAAGUCUAGAGUGCAGGAGAGGAGAAUGGAAUUCCUAGUGUAGCGGCGAAAUGCGUAGAGAUUAGGAAGAACACCAGUGGCGAAGGCGAUUCUCUGGACUGUAACUGACGCUGAGGCUCGAAAGCGUGGGGAGCAAACAGG
rnacentral:rRNA from 1 species